AUAAGCAGGCCUCUUCUCAUGAAUUCGCAUUAAUCUUUCGCCUUUUACUAAAGAUUACCGUGGGGAGGGGCACUCAAAUGAGCCUAUAUAGUUAGUUAGUUAGUUAGUUAGUUAGUUAGUUAG